rnacentral:miRNA from 1 species
GCAGACACAUUCCAGCCAAUCAGCAGCAGACCCUCCCUCCCAGUCCCUCCCACCUCCUGGACAGCAUCCAUUUUACAUUCAUUGUGAAGCUGCAUUCUUAGUGAGCUGUCCAGGAGGUGGGAGGGUCUGGGAGGGAGGGUCUGCUGCUGAUUGGCUGGAAUGAGUCUG